rnacentral:tRNA from 1 species
GCCCUUGUAGCGCAACGGAUAGCGCACCGGCCUCCGGCGCCGGAGGUUGCAGGUUCAAAUCCUGCCAAGGGCGCAA